rnacentral:rRNA from 1 species
CAGUCGCCGCGGUAAUACGGAGGGUGCAAGCGUUAAUCGGAAUUACUGGGCGUAAAGCGCACGCAGGCGGUCUGUCAAGUCAGAUGUGAAAUCCCCGGGCUUAACCUGGGAACUGCAUUUGAAACUGGCAGGCUAGAGUCUUGUAGAGGGGGGUAGAAUUCCAGGUGUAGCGGUGAAAUGCGUAGAGAUCUGGAGGAAUACCGGUGGCGAAGGCGGCCCCCUGGACAAAGACUGACGCUCAGGUGCGAAAGCGUGGGGAGCAAACAGGAUUAGAGACCCCCGUGUCCCUGUCUCUUAUACA